rnacentral:rRNA from 1 species
UACGUAGGGUGCAAGCGUUGUCCGGAAUUAUUGGGCGUAAAGAGCUCGUAGGCGGUCUGUCGCGUCUGCUGUGAAAUCCCGAGGCUCAACCUCGGGCUUGCAGUGGGUACGGGCAGGCUAGAGUGCGGUAGGGGAGAAUGGAACUCCUGGUGUAGCGGUGGAAUGCGCAGAUAUCAGGAAGAACACCGAUGGCGAAGGCAGUCUCUGGGCCGUAACUGACGCUGAGGAGCGAAAGCGUGGGGAGCGAACAGG